CCUCCCCACGCCACCGCUCGCCCUCCCCAAGCCGUGUCUCCGCCGCCCGCCCGCCUCACCAGCCACGUCGCCGCGCCGCCCGCCUCACCCGCCGCACUCCCCUCUCCCCUCUCCCCUCUCGUCGUCCCACUCAACUCACCGCAGUCCCCUCUCCCCUCUCCCUCGCGUCGCCUGCCUCCCCUCACCGCUGCCUCAGGAUCUCCUCCGCGCCGCCUCCUCGCUCCUGUAACGCCGCUGCGCGUGACCUCUCGCCGAAGAUCGCGUACUCCUGCCGCUGCCGGCGCUGCGAACAUCCUCCGUAAGCUCCAUCACCCCUGUCAUCCUCGCUGGUCGCCAUGCCCAAUUCAAUCGCGUAUCCAAUACAAUCCCUAAUUUCACAUCGCACCAUGUCCCAAUCGUCGUUCCCAUCGCCAUUCCGCUCCUCCGAUGCAGCCGUCGACCUCCGCGCCCCGGUCGCCCUCACUUGCAACACCCGCCCCUGCUGUUGUUGCCGCUGUCACUGUAGACGUCUUUGCUCCCUGGUGGCGUCGUCGAGCCCUGACGCCACCCGCAACAGACGACGCCACUGGCAACACAGCUGCCGUGGCCGGCAACGUAGCUGCUGCUGGAACCGCUCGCUUCCUUGAGACGCUCAUCGAGAGAGCCGACUGCCGGUGCGGCACUUCGACAUUAUGCUCUACCACAACGCUACAGAGUACCGAUCAGGAAUGCCCGUUUAUUGAAAAGCUAUGGUAUGUUAGCUACAUUUUAAACGAACAGGAUAUGAUUAUCUGAGCUUUGUCCAGCUCCAGUAUCUGAAGAUGGGAUGUUCAGUUUGUAAUCAUAGAACUCACGCGCAACAAUCUUGCAGUGGAAUCCAAUGAUUCACAGAAUACUGCAACGGUUUGAUCAGCGAUAAGCAGGUGAUAAAUGUUGGUGAUUGACUUAUGCCCAGGUUACCCACCUUGAUUUUGUGCCUACCUUGAAACAUGAAGCCUCGCUAUGAUUGUUCACCAUUCCAGCUUACCAGCUAUAUUGAAAUAUCAAUCUAUUCUGUCUUCCAGAUUACACAUAGUUCAUUAUGCUUGGGACAUAAUAAUACAGUAGUUGAUAUAAAUGUGCAGAAAAAACUGAAAGAAAUUUCGGACUGCUUAAUAUUUUGAUGUGAGUGGAUCACUGGUGCAUAUUGGAGUGACUGAACAAUGAUUCUCAUUGUACACUAUGAGAAUUUUCCGAAAUACUAUGUCCUGCUACAUGGUUGCUGAAUACAUUCAAGGGCAUUGCACUGUCUUUUGAUGAAGCUCCAAAUCAAAUUCACAUCUUAAUGCAAUCAAUUAUCAGGUAAUCAUGUAGUUCCUUGGCAAGAUCACAUUGGUAGGUAAGUUAAGGUUUGCAACUGUGGUUGAUGUCAGCAGGUCUUGCUAUUUUUCUUUUAAUUUAGUUUCAGUCCUCUAAUGUUUUUAUCUUGCACCUGUCACUUGCUAAAAUUUUAUUCAGUUUAUAUCCCUUUAGAAUUUUCAAACUUAAUGUGCCUUUCAGUUUUUUAGGCAGAAAUACUAAGUUGUAUUUAUAUAACAAAAUUUGAUGGAAACCAUCAUUAUGGUGAUUUCGCAUAGUGCACUAUGAACAUGUCAGCAUGUGAUUUCAGGAAAGUCAGUUGAUGUGUUUUCCUCAGAGAAAUAUUCCUGUUCUCAAGUCUUUCAUACCAACAUGUAGUGGUCAUUCUCUCAUUUGAGAGAAUCCAUUAUAUACCACUGACUUUGUCACACGUCUACGAUUUGCCACUGACUUUAUCAUGUUCUACAAUAUGCCAUCGACUUUUGGAUCUAUAAUCAAACAGUACAUUUUCAUCGUUACCUGAAGAUCAUCUGUUACAGCUAUUAUCCCCCAACAAUAAAGAACAUGCGGUUGUUUGCGAUGCUAUGUUAGGUGCAAUUUUUUAGUGUCUUUAAUUAAAAAAGAAUGAGUUUACGUGUGUACUGUGUUCAUCACAUAAAUGGUUUCUCAAAUUAAUAUCUGCACUUGGCCUCUUUGCAUACCAAACUUUAUAUUUCUCUAUAAGUACUCCAGUAGUCUACAAACUUUUGUUAUCUUGGAUUAACUUAUUUUGUUUCGAUAUGCAAGUCAUAUAAUUAAUCUUCUUGUAGCAGUGAAAUGGUCCAACCCCUUCCUCUUUUGAUAUGGGUUUUCAGCUGCUACUUUUCUUCUUUUUGCAGGAAUUUUAUUUGCAAAUUAAGCACUCAAUUCACUUCCCUCAAAUUGAUUCACAAACUUACACCCGCGCUUUUAAAUCUGUGCAGUUCAUUCAUCUAUGCAAACAUAAAUUAUUUAAUGUUAUAAUUUACUACUGUUAUUCUCUGUCCCAUGUUAAACCAAAAACCAUGUCUACCAUUGAAGCAAUUACUGUAACAAGUUCAUUUUGCCAGCUGAAUCUACCCAGCCACUUUUGCUGUAGCUCCAACCAAAAUAAGGUGGCUUUAUGGUCUCUGUGUGCCAUACAACUUUUAUAUAUUAAUUUAAAUUUAGUUUUACAUGGUCUGAACUUGGCCUUGCAUUGCUUAAGAACUUGGUUGACAACAGUCUGAAAUUGGCGUUGCAUUAUAUGCCAACCUGUGUAGUGUAAUGUAUUGUUUCUAUUCAGAACAUAAACAUGCAUAUUUUCCCUGUGAACCAUUGAUUAUGUACUGAGUUAAUUCCUGACAGCCUUUUGAAACGUGGAGUGUUUUUUUUAGGUUUUGUUGUUGUUUGAUUGCCAAAUGUUUAUAAUUUCAGUACAAAUUUCCUGGGAGCAAAAAAUUGCCAAUCACAUCUCAUGUUAUGUGCUCAAAAGAAACAAAACAAUAGAUGUCUGAACGUGCCUCUCAUUUUCUUUAUUUGGAGUCUUAUUUUCUGCCGUGCUGAUGACAAAUUCUUUAUAUAUACCUCUCAUUUUCUGUAUUUGGAGUCUUAUCUUGUCCUUGCAAUAUGUGUGAAAAAUAGAUGUCUGAACAUCUGCCAGAUUAGUGUUUGAACAUUUCUUAUAUUAUUUUCUGAGCAUUUGACAUAUUAGUUUAUGACUUGUUCUUAUGAUGUACGAGUAUCUGAAUUUAGAAUCUGAACUUGGGCAAGCAUCUAAAUGUUGUUCAAUGUUUUAGUUUGCUGUGAGCUAAUUAAUGUUAUGAAUUUCUUAUAGCUCAAGUAUUGGAAGUUUACAAAUUCACCGGUCGAUGUAAGGUUUUUCUGGGUUUAGUGUAAACAAUAUACUCAUAUUACCAUUCAAGGUUAUCUGAACGUGAAUAUGUAAUGUAUCUGAAUUCAGUGUGCGGACAUACUCUUGCCAUGUUUCUUAAGUCAGUGUAUGAAUAUGCUCUUGCAAGCACUAUUUUUCCCUGUAUUUUUAUUGUUAAAAUAUAUAUUAUAAAAACGUGCUAUGCACGUGCACUAUUACUAGUUAGAGAAGACGACCACAAUCCGUGGCGACGACGUUGUCGCCGCCGGCGCCGAUGCGGCAUGGACAGAGCAGCGACAUUGAAAUCUUCUCUCCUGGAGGGAGGAAGUGCGGCGACGGUGGCGCGAAGUGGUGCUGCGAUCGCAAGUACGAGCUUGUCAGCUACGAGCCUACGACGCGCUCCCGGCCUUCCUCAAGCACAACGAGUUCAUCAUCGACUACUACCGCAGCGAGUGGCCCAUCAAGCAGGCGCUCCUCAGCGCCUUAGUCGUCCACAACGAGACCAUCUUCCAGACGUAAUUAAGCACUCGAUCGAUCAAAAGCACGUAUAUUAGCUAAAGACGAUACUCUACCAGUAGAGAAACUAUCUUUUAUCGGUCGACCAAAUUCCAUAAUAGUUCUUGUUGCAAUAAAAACCAGGACUAAAAAACAUCUUUAGUCCCGAUUCAAAAGGUUAGAGCUACUUUUUAAUCUUUAAUCCUAGUUCAAAAAAGGUAGGCGGUGUCAGACCCCUCCUUUACCUUUAAUCCCGGUUGGACUAAAGAGCUAUUUCUAGUUCCGGUUGUUAAACAACCAGGAAAAAAAAGAUCCGCAUGCGCGGAGAGGAUGAGGCGUGCGCGCAACAUCGAGGAGGAGGAGGAGGCGCACGGGAUAAGUUAAUAAGUUCUAUCUCCUCCUCCCUCACCUUUAUCUCCUCUCCUCACUCACCCCAUCUCUUCCUCUUCCUCCUCUGGAUCCGCCCCCCUCCCCUCUCCUCCCCACUUCUCAGGAAGCGGAGGCGGCCUCGCGCAGUGGCGGCGGCCUCGUGUGGAGGACCGCGCCCGGUGGCGGCUUGCGCGGAAGGCCACGCGGCGGCAGGCGGUGGAGGCUGGCGCGGCUGCACGGAUUUUUUUUUUCUUUUUUCUUUCUUUGUGUUGAAUGAUUCGAUCUGUGUUGUCUGUGUUGAAUGUAUGAUUCGAUCUGUGUUGAGAAUGAACUAUGUUGUUAUGAAUGUUGUUGUGAAUGAUUUGGGAGGAACUAUGUUGUUGUGAA